rnacentral:rRNA from 1 species
UGGGGAAUAUUGGACAAUGGGGGCAACCCUGAUCCAGCCAUGCCGCGUGAGUGAUGAAGGCCUUAGGGUUGUAAAGCUCUUUUGCCGGGGACGAUAAUGACGGUACCCGGAGAAUAAGUCCCGGCUAACUUCGUGCCAGCAGCCGCGGUAAUACGAAGGGGACUAGCGUUGUUCGGAAUCACUGGGCGUAAAGCGCACGUAGGCGGAUUUGUAAGUCAGGGGUGAAAUCCCGGGGCUCAACCUCGGAACUGCCUUUGAUACUGCGGAUCUCGAGUCCGAUAGAGGUGAGUGGAAUUCCUAGUGUAGAGGUGAAAUUCGUAGAUAUUAGGAAGAACACCGGUGGCGAAGGCGGCUCACUGGAUCGGUACUGACGCUGAGGUGCGAAAGCGUGGGGAGCAAACAGGAUUAGAUACCCUCGUAGUCCCUGAGCGGGCUGGCAAGGCGCAU